GGAGGUAGAGCUCAGUGGUAGAGCACAUGCUUAGCAUGCACAAGGUCCUGGGUUUAAUCUCCCAGAAUCUCCA
rnacentral:tRNA from 1 species